GUUCUUGUGUGUCGAGACAAGGUCAGUUGUAUUGAGAGCACUAACAAAUUAUAUUUGCUAUUGGGGUCAAAAAUCAGGUGUUGAGUGAUGUAGACUUUUCUUGUAAUCAUGGGUAAAAAUAUACACAUAUACUGAUGAAAAAAAUUCAAUUAAAUUGUGUAAUGCAGAGCAAAACUAUUAUUGCAGAUUUUGGAGUUUUCACAACAAGAGCAAACUUAAGGUGACUUUAUUCUUGAAAAUGUUGGAGACUGAGAGGCAGAUGUGUAAACAGACAACUCUGCAUGGAAUUGGAGGAUACAAGUAUAUAACUGAAUGCAUUCUGUCUGGAUUUCUGUAUGGUGACAGAAGGCUUUGAUAUGGGGAGAAUUGGAGUGGCUAAGAAUCAGAUGGAGACCCAAUGUCAGUUCACAUGGAAUACCAGGGUUUGCAAAGGAGGACAUUGGAACUGGCUUAAGUAUUCGAACUUCUGAUGGCAGUUGAUGAAAGAAGAUGUCAUACUUAGGGAAACAUUAAAUUACUUUGAAUGAUAUUACCUAAAAACAUCAAACAACAGGGGAAAAAAGAGGACUGCCUAUUUCCGAUUUAUCUUUACAUAACAACACCAGAAGCACUACCAUCAAAAAAUUAAAAUCAAUAUAUAGGAAGAAAAAAUGAAGACAUUGAUUAAAAGAAAAGAAGUUCAAAGAGUUUCGAAUAUUAUGUCAAGUUGUCAACGACAACACAGAU